rnacentral:rRNA from 1 species
CGACCUGAGCUCAGGGCAAGAUACC